GAACUGAACAAAGUCCAGUCAUUACAGUAAAUAUGACCCGUUUGUGUGUGUGCGCGUUUAAACCUCAACAGUGUGUGUGUGUGUGUGUAUGUACUCUAUGCGUAUAACUAUGUACAUAUACAGAAGGCAAUAUUAUAUACAGUAUAUAAAACAGAUAGGAAGAGCUUCGU